AGGGCGCGGCAGCCAAUCAGCGCGCGGCUUCUAUAGGGCUUGAGUUAUUAGACGCUGAUCUCAAAACAUCCUUCAGCAGACACCAAGGAGAAGGCCAAGAGAUGAGGGGAGCCAUUUUUCUGCAAUGGAAUUAAAUGGCCAAAGCAGUAAACAGCCCUCAGCGAAGCCGCCUUUUUGCCAACCCAACCCUGGAAAGUUUGCAGAAGUGGAAGGAGCAGAAAAUGCCCCGAGAGUGUAACUUCAAAAACAAGGUUUCUGGCCGGCACCCCCUGGGUGGGCAGCCCUCCUUGCUUUCGACUAAAGGAGCAGGCCCAGCUUGAAUCUGACAGUCCUCCCACUAAGUGCUGCCUAAGUGCCAGAGUCCUCUCAGGGCUAUGCUGAGGCAGGUAAGUAGGCCCCACCUCCCCUGUCCCUGGCCUCUGCUGAUGUCCCCUCCUUGCGAAUUGGUGUCCUCUGGUCCCUCUCCUGCCCUCCAUUGGAGCCCUACCAGGCCUGGAGGGCUUCUGGCUGUCUGCACUGGUCCCGGCCAGCUGCUAUCCUGGAAGUGGUGGACUGUGAGCCCCUGGCGUGCAGGAGCACAACUGCCUCUCAAUAAACGCAUUUCAAAGGAGAA